UACGUAGGGGGCUAGCGUUGUUCGGAAUUACUGGGCGUAAAGGGCGCGUAGGCGCCUUCUAAGUCGAACGUGAAAUCCCCGGGCUCAACCCGGGAACUGCGUCCGAUACUGGAAGGCUUGAAUCCGGGAGAGGGAUGUGGAAUUCCAGGUGUAGCGGUGAAAUGCGUAGAUAUCUGGAGGAACACCGGUGGCGAAGGCGACAUCCUGGACCGGUAUUGACGCUGAGGCGCGAAAAGCCAGGGGAGCAA
rnacentral:rRNA from 1 species